CAACUAUCAAAGUACCAAUUGCCGGAAAUUGUGGAGAGGAUACAGUUCUCAAGUGUAUUGUAACUGGGAGCAUUGAUUUUACUGGAUGGUUUGGAUUAGGCCGAAAUCUAGUUGCUAAUGGAAUUCCAAUUGGAGCAGAUGAUAACAACAAAUAUUCCGAAACAAGGGGAACGUCAACAUUCACAUUGACAAUACAUAACACUGACAUUUCUGAUGAGGGAACAUAUCGCUGCCGCAAUGGAUUUGAUGAGAGCCAACUUACCCUUCUCAACAUAGAAUGUAAAGCAUCAAAAGCUGUACUGACAGUGACCAGUGGAAAGAAAGUGGUAAUUACUGUAGAUAAACUAUAUCCGGCAUCCCCUUUAUUAACUGCUUCAUUUGAAAAAGAGAAUAGUCUUGUCACAGUGCCAGGAUCCAGCACCUGUUCCAGCAGUACACAGUACUCGGGUUACUACAAAUGUGCAUGGACUUCCAGUAACUCUCUAGCUGAUGGAUCGUACACGUACAGUCUUGUUGUCAAAACUAUUACAGAGGCUGCUAAACUAAACGGAUCUUUUA